rnacentral:rRNA from 1 species
UACGUAGGGUGCGAGCGUUAAUCGGAAUUACUGGGCGUAAAGUGUGCGCAGGCGGCUGAGCAAGUCGGGUGUGAAAGCCCCGGGCUUAACUUGGGAAUUGCGCUCGAAACUACUUGGCUGGAGUGUGGCAGAGGAAGGUGGAAUUCCACGUGUAGCGGUGAAAUGCGUAGAGAUGUGGAGGAACACCAAUGGCGAAGGCAGCCUUCUGGGCCAACACUGACACUCAGGUGCGACAGCGUGGGGAGCAAACAGG